rnacentral:rRNA from 1 species
AUUGAACGCUGGCGGCAUGCCUUACACAUGCAAGUCGAACGGCAGCACGGGUGCUUGCACCUGGUGGCGAGUGGCGAACGGGUGAGUAAUACAUCGGAACAUGUCCUGUAGUGGGGGAUAGCCCGGCGAAAGCCGGAUUAAUACCGCAUACGAUCUACGGAUGAAAGCGGGGGACCUUCGGGCCUCGCGCUAUAGGGUUGGCCGAUGGCUGAUUAGCUAGUUGGUGGGGUAAAGGCCUACCAAGGCGACGAUCAGUAGCUGGUCUGAGAGGACGACCAGCCCCACUGGGACUGAGACACGGCCCAGACUCCUACGGGAGGCAGCAGUGGGGAAUUUUGGACAAUGGGCGAAAGCCUGAUCCAGCAAUGCCGCGUGUGUGAAGAAGGCCUUCGGGUUGUAAAGCACUUUUGUCCGGAAAGAAAUCCUUGGCCCUAAUACGGUCGGGGGAUGACGGUACCGGAAGAAUAAGCACCGGCUAACUACGUG